rnacentral:rRNA from 1 species
GUCUGGGAGGGGAAGAUGGAAUUAGUAGUGUAGGGGUAAAAUCCGUAGAGAUUACUAGGAAUACCAAAAGCGAAGGCGAUCUUCUGGAACAGUACUGACGCUGAGGCGCGAAAGCGUGGGGAGCAAACAGGAUUAGAUACCCUGGUAGUCCACGCCCUAAACGAUGAAUGUUAGUCGUCGGGACUCUAGUAGUUUCGGUGAUGCAGUUAACACAUUAAACAUUCCGCCUGGGGAGUACGGUCGCAAGAUUAAAACUCAAAGGAAUAGACGGGGACCCGCACAAGUGGUGGAGCAUGUGGUUUAAUUCGAAGAUACGCGAAGAACCUUACCUAGCCUUGACAUAUUUUAGAACUCCGCAGAGAUGUAGAGGUGCCUUCGGGAGCUAAUAUACAGGUGCUGCACGGCUGUCGUCAGCUCGUGUCGUGAGAUGUUGGGUUAAGUCCCGCAACGAGCGCAACCCUCGUUCUUAGUUACUAACGGUUCGGCCGAGGACUCUAAGAAGACUGCCUUCGUAAGGAGGAGGAAGGUGAGGACGACGUCAAGUCAUCAUGGCCCUUACGGCUAGGGCAACACACGUGCUACAAUGGUUAGGACAAUGAGACGCAAUACCGCGAGGUGGAGCAAAUCUAUAAACCUAAUCUCAGUUCGGAUUGUAGUCUGCAACUCGACUACAUGAAGCUGGAAUCACUAGUAAUCGUAGAUCAGCUAUGCUACGGUGAAUACGUUCCCGGGUC